GAUGAACGCUGGCGGCGUGCCUAAUACAUGCAAGUCGAGCGAACAGACGAGGAGCUUGCUCCUCUGACGUUAGCGGCGGACGGGUGAGUAACACGUGGAUACCCUAUCUAUAAGACUGGGAUAACUUCGGGAAACCGGAGCUAAUAUCGGAUAAUAUAUUGAACCGCAUGGUUCAUUAGUGCAAGCCGGUUUUGCUGUCACUUAUAGAUGGAUCCGCGCCGCAUUAGCUAGUUGGUAAGGUAACGGCUUACCAAGGCAACGAUGCGUAGCCGACCUGAGAGGGUGAUCAGCCACACUGGAACUGAGACACGGUCCAGACUCCUACGGGAGGCAGCAGUAGGGAAUCUUCCACAAUGGGCGAAAGCCUGACGGAGCAACGCCGCGUGUGUGAUGAAGGUCUUCGGAUCGUAAAACUCUUUUAGUAGGGAAGAACAAAAGUGUGAGAAACUAUGCACGUCUUGACGGUACCUAAACAGAAAGCCACGGCUAACUACGUG
rnacentral:rRNA from 1 species